UACGAAGGGGGCUAGCGUUGUUCGGAAUUACUGGGCGUAAAGCGUGCGUAGGCGGUUCGUUAAGUCUGUUGUGAAAGCCCCGGGCUCAACCUGGGAAUGGCAAUGGAUACUGGCGAGCUAGAGUGUGUCAGAGGAUGGUGGAAUUCCCGGUGUAGCGGUGAAAUGCGUAGAGAUCGGGAGGAACAUCAGUGGCGAAGGCGGCCAUCUGGGACAACACUGACGCUGAGGCACGAAAGCGUGGGGAGCAAACAGG
rnacentral:rRNA from 1 species